GUGGGGAAUAUUGGGCAAUGGGCGAAAGCCUGACCCAGCAACGCCGCGUGAAGGAAGAAGGCCUUCGGGUUGUAAACUUCUUUUAAGAGGGACGAAGAAGUGACGGUACCUCUUGAAUAAGCCACGGCUAACUACGUGCCAGCAGCCGCGGUAAUACGUAGGUGGCGAGCGUUAUCCGGAUUUACUGGGUGUAAAGGGCGCGUAGGCGGGAAUGCAAGUCAGAUGUGAAAUCCAAGGGCUCAACCCUUGAACUGCAUUUGAAACUGUAUUUCUUGAGUGUCGGAGAGGUUGACGGAAUUCCUAGUGUAGCGGUGAAAUGCGUAGAUAUUAGGAGGAACACCAGUGGCGAAGGCGGUCAACUGGACGAUAACUGACGCUGAGGCGCGAAAGCGUGGGGAGCAAACAGGAUUAGAUACCCUAGUAGUCC
rnacentral:rRNA from 1 species